AUUGAACGCUGGCGGCAUGCCUUACACAUGCAAGUCGAACGGCAACACGGGAGCUUGCUCCUGGUGGCGAGUGGCGAACGGGUGAGUAAAGCAUCGGAACGUGCCCUGAAGUGGGGGGAUAACGUAGCGAAAGUUACGCUAAUACCGCAUAUUCUGUGAGCAGGAAAGCAGGGGAUCUUCGGACCUUGUGCUUUAGGAGCGGCCGAUGUCGGAUUAGCUAGUUGGUGAGGUAAAGGCUCACCAAGGCGACGAUCCGUAGCGGGUCUGAGAGGAUGAUCCGCCACACUGGGACUGAGACACGGCCCAGACUCCUACGGGAGGCAGCAGUGGGGAAUUUUGGACAAUGGGCGCAAGCCUGAUCCAGCCAUGCCGCGUGAGUGAAGAA
rnacentral:rRNA from 1 species